UUGUUCUUUAAUUCUUCUAGGGGUUUAUCCUUUAAUUCUUCUAUGUCUUUGUUAAACAUUUCUUGUAUCUUCUCGAUCUUUGCCUCCAUUCUUUUUCUGAGGUUCUGGAUCAUCUUCACUAUCAUUUUUCUGAAUUCUUUUUCUGGAAGGUUGCCUACCUCCACUUCAUGUAGUUGUUUUUCUGGGUUUUUAAAUCUUGUUCCUUCAUCGGGUACAAAGUCCUCUGCAUUUUCAUUUUGUCUAUAUUUCUGUGAAUGUGGUUUUCCUUUCACAGGCUGCAGAAUUGUAGUUCUUGCUUCUGCUGUCUGCCCUCUGGUGGAUGAGGCUAUCUAAGAGUCUUGUGCAAGCUUCCUGAUGGGAGGGACUUGUGGUGUGUAGAGCUGGGUGUUGCUCUGGUGGGCAGAGCUCAGUAAAACUUUAAUCUGCUUGUCUGAUGAUGGGUGGGGCUGGGUUCCCUCCCUGUUGGUUGUUUGGCCUGAGGCAACCCAGCACUGGAGCCCACCUGGGCUCUUUUUUGGGGCUAAUGACAGAUUCUGGGAGGGCUCAUGUCAAGGAGUACUUCCUAGAACUUCUGCUGCCAGUGUCCUUGUCUCCACGGUGAUUCACAGCCACCCCUGGCCUCUGCAGGAGACCCUCCAACACUAGCAGGGGUCCGGCACACAGGUGUUCUGCAAACACUGUGCCCCUUGCAGCCACGCCUUUGCAGUCUGUCUUGCUCACCAAGCUCUUCUCUUGUGACUGCAGCCCUUUUGCCGAUUUUAUCAGAAGCCUCCGUCCACUCAGGGUCUGCAGAGCGCUUACUUACGUCCUGGCCGCCUCGGCUGUUUCCCCCACGUGGUUUCUGAGGCGUCUUCCUUUACCAGCUCUGACCCCUGCACACCACCACCUCCUCAUCAGCUUGGUUCGACUUGGGACAGGCCUCCUGCUUCUUGCCUCUGCCAGGCACCUCAUGAUUCCGUCCAGAUCAGGCAGGUUCUCUGCCGGUGCCCCUGUCCACCCCCAGGAUCUCCCUCUGGAGGCUGAAACCCAACCCUAUUAUCUCACUUGACCUGAGGAAGAGCUUUAAUUCCAACAGAGAAACAAAGCAGGGUGUAGAUCGGCAGUGGGAAACUUCUGGCUUGGGGGCCAAGACUAGCCGGUGCCUUAUUUUCAACCUCACCUUUUAUAAAACUGGCCGCCAUGUUCGCCUUGUGAACAACAACUGAACUUGCCGAUCUUAUCUGGAAAACAGCCCGAGCUAUGAUGGGGCUCCUCAGAGCUCCUGCAGCUCCGUACAUUAUUCACUGACAGCCUGCAGCCUUAGGAAAAGCCCUUACAGAGAGUGACAAACUGAGAUCUGGGGGUCUCUCUGCUGACCGGAAUCAGGCUGGAGAAGCACGUGUGUACUUGGCAGGAAGCGGGCAGCCAGGACUCAGACCCGCACCCCCAGCCCCACUUUUCCUCCAGGCCAGCACCGUCCCACGGAACCUCUGCAGGGAUGGAAAUGCUUACGACCUGCACUGCCCAGGUGGGUACUGAGCAGGUGGAAGGAGGCGAAUGAGACUGAGGAACUGAACUUCUCAUUGUAUACAAGUCGGAUUGAUUUAAAUGUAAACAGUCACACGACCACUGUUUGGGUUGCUAGGCCACACUACAGUUGCACCUGUUUACGGAAAGAGAAUCACCCUGUUUACACUGAAGAAACUGAGUCUUGCUCUCCCUCUUGAUCCCGAAAUAAAACUUGCCUUAUCAUUUAACUGUGGAUGUAAGUGAGGCUUCUACAAACAAAUAAUUAUUAUCUUUGUUUUGUUUACAAAUCCAAAAAUACCCUCUCAUCAUAAAAGAUACGGUUAGGCUUUUUUAAAAAAAUUAGAUUUUUAGAAUAAAACUGAUUCCUAGCUCAACUCUCCUCCCUUCAUAAUAACUUAAGGAAAAAGAUACUUCUCUAAAUGUCUGAUGAGUUGCUUAAAUAAGGUUUCAACUAUUUAUAUGUGACCAUGGAGAUUUUAAAAAACAAAAUUCCCUUUAAGUGUCCUAAGACCAGUGGUGUGACUGUGAAUGCCUAUGUUCAUCGUGGACAUUUAUCAGGAAAGAAAAAGAAAGCAUAAAAAUAGUUCAGAGUGUUCCAGGCCACGGAUACCAAUCCCCAAAGAGCUUUUGAACUUUGGGGAGGUAAGCAUACUUUGCCACAGUCUGACAGAUAUCUAGCAGAGAUAACCAGAUUUACGAUUUGGUAGAACUGCAUUCUUGCAUACAGGUCCUAUGUAUAACUGUGUGAUAUUUACAUACCUCAUACUAAGCUAAGGACAGAAUUUCACUGUUCAUAUUUACCUUAUAUUUACUCUUAUGAAACUUUAGCCAUAACUAGAUUUGAUGACAAAUCCUAAAUCUUUUCAGCACAAUCCAAACAUGACCCAGUGACUCCCUUGUUCUUUGUUAAUAUGUAUCAACAGACCCUGGGAGCGCUGAUGCCAUCCCCCCGUCGGGGGGCCCCCUGAUCUGAUCUGGGGGUAACGCACAUCCUUCCUUGUGCACUGCUCCUUCCCCUCGGCCUGCGGAGUCUGUGGCCCUCGGGUCCUUCCACAGUCCCCCCGGCCACCACCACCACUGGCAGAGGCUGGCAUAUGACUCUGCCUGCAGCUCUAAUGUUACAGAUUCUACCAGACACAGUGUGAUGAGGAUGAACUGUCUGCAAAGCAUGAGAGCUGUGGGGUCAAGUGCUGGGUUGUGAUCUGCUCUCUUGAUACCCGGAUGCUCUGAAAUGCCAGCCAUGCACGUUAACACAGGGACUAACCUGGGAAACGAAGUGAUUGUGCAGAGGGCCUGGUUUUCCCCCAGCAGAGAUGUCGCUUCCUUGCGGCGCUUCCUCAUGUUGUCCUCGACCGUGUUGAACUCAGACAUGGUCCCUCCGUACGGCUGGCCAGGUGUCCCCUCGAUCAUGUAGCUCCCAUACUCUGGUCUCCAAAGGGUAGGGUGGCUACAGAGGAGAAAAGGUUUCAGUCCAUCUUAUUCUUCUGCUGCAGUCUGCUCCAUUUUUAGUUUUGAAAAAGUUGCUUCCAAAAAUUUAGAAACGACUGGGUAUACAAGAAGCCAAGAACUCUUUACAAUUCCCAGUGGCUGUUAAUCUUCCACAGCUUUUCAACUACAUAAGGGUUACAAGUGCUGGGUCUAAAAUAUUUAUAAGUAACUGAGACACACACAGGGCAUGCGCUGUCCAAGGCAAGCAAGCCUGUCCACUCUGCGGGGAAGGACGUGGGGAUUUAAGGCCUCCUUCAGUUUAAGACUGGGUUCCAAAUGCAAACCCAGCCUCCCAAAAUGUAGUGGGUAGAAAAAUGAACUGGAGGUACAUGCCCCCUUCACCUCUGUCUACUGAAAUAAAGAAAUAUUUUAAAAAUAUCCUGCCAGCCAAGCAAAACCCAUCUGCAAGUUUUCUCUGACACCAUGGUUUGUGAUCUUGGUAACUGCCAAUUUUUAAAAAAAAUAUUUAAAUAGUAAACAAACUUUAUAUUGAGUUUACUCUUCUAAGUGCUUACUAACGUAUUUAGAAUGUCUACACCCUAAGAGGUAGGUAUUAUUAUCCCUGAUUUACAGUUGAGGAAACUGAGGCACAGAGAAGUUAAGUACCCCACCUAAGGGUACCCAGCUAUUAAGCAGAGGAAGCAGGAUUUGAACCCAGGCAACUGGGAACCAGAGCCAGAGCCCUAAACUGCUGUGCUCUCCUGUCUCCUGUAUGUGGGAGGAGAGAUGAUAUUCCAGUGGUUCUAACAGUUUCAGAAACUCUCAAAGAAGCCUUCAGUACAUCAGCUUACUUUGGGUUUGUCCUUUCCCCCUUUUCUUGCAGAGUUUCAAGAAGUUCCUCUCCAGACAGUACCAGUUGGGCUUUUCUAUUUUCAUGAUCAAAAGAUACCAACAUGUAUUCCACCUAUUGAAAAUAAAGGAGAGAAAGAUGAACAUUC